AACUACAUACACUCCUUCUAGCACUUUUUUGUAAAAAUACAUUUUUUUCGUAAUAUUUAAAAAGUUAUGAAUUGUUCUUUUUUCUUUUAUAUAAAACUGUUUUCAAAAUGUAUAAUAGUCAAGUAUGUUUGUUUUUGUCACUCAACAGAGAUGUACAACAAGACGAAAAACAUAACAAUCGUACUAGUAGUAAUUUUAACAGUAAUAAAAAUAUACCAUGUUAUAACUAUAUAAGCUUGACAGCUAAUAUAGAUUUACAAACUUUGAAAAAGUUAAAUAACCUAGUUACAAAUAAUAAUAUUCUAUUAAUAGACAUUUUGUUAAAUAUUUAUUAUAACUUAACGAUAAAUAAAAAUAUCAAUUUUAAAACUUUUGUAAAAAAUUUUCGCAAUUUUUGUUAUCUACAUGAAUAUGUUAAAUAUAUAAAACAAAUAAAAAAAGAGGAAAAUGCAGAAAAAGGGGAAGAGGCAAUAAAUGAGGAAGUGGCAAUAAAUGAGGAAAAAGAAGGAGAAAAGGGUAAAGGAAAAGGCAAAGACGAAAAGGGUAAAGGAAAAGGCAAAGACAAAAAGGGUAAAGGAAAAGGCAAAGACGAAAAGGGUAAAAGCAAAGGCGAAGAAAAAGAGAAAAAGAAAAAACAAAAAAACGACAAAUGUUCAAUAAGUAAAACAAAAAAAAAGACAUAUUAUUUAUACUUCUAUGAAAACACUAAUUUUAUAAAAAAUGAACAUAUAGAAAACGACGAUCUCGAUUUAAAAAAAUAUUUAAACAAUUAUUAUGACAACAAUAUUAUACCAAAACAACACAUGCUCAAUUUUAGAUCAAGGAAUAUGGCAUAUUCUUAUAAAAAGUUGAUCACAGUCAACAAACAGAGUGAUGCGAAAAAUGGAUUAUGUAGUACUGAGUUAGUACAAAAACAAAAUAAAACAUAUGACCAUGAUUUUGUUGAUUACAUAUAUUCGGAAAAAAAAAAAGAAAAAAAAAGAAAAAAAAAAAGAAAAUCUCUAUACGCUGUAUAUACUAGCGCGCUCUUAAAUCAAUGUAAAAAACUAUAUAAAAAAAUUAUUCAAAAUAAUAAAGAAAAAAACAAUUAUAAUGUUGUAACUAUUUUUUUUAAAAAUUUAAGUUUUAGUAAUUUUAUUAAAAUCAUAUAUUUUUUAUGUAAAUCCAAAUAUGAACAUGUUUGGAAAUAUUUAAAAAAAAAAAAAAUAAAUAAUAAAAAAAAAAGUAGCUUGGUAAAUAAAAUGGAAGCUAUACAUAUAAAUAAGUUGAAAAGUAAAAAUAUAGCUGUUUAUAAAAAAAAUUACAAAAAAUGUAUACAACGAAUGGAAUAGUACAUCAUGCUUUGAAUUUUUGCAAUAUAUAAUAAAUGAAAAAGACACAACA
rnacentral:lncRNA from 1 species